UACGUAGGGUGCGAGCGUUGUCCGGAAUUAUUGGGCGUAAAGGGCGCGUAGGCGGCCAGCACAAGUCAGUUGUGAAAUCUCCGAGCUUAACUCGGAAAGGUCAACUGAUACUGUGCGGCUAGAGUGCGGAAGGGGCAACUGGAAUUCUUGGUGUAGCGGUGAAAUGCGUAGAUAUCAAGAGGAACACCUGCGGCGAAGGCGGGUUGCUGGGCCGACACUGACGCUGAGGCGCGAAAGCGUGGGGAGCAAACAGG
rnacentral:rRNA from 1 species